rnacentral:rRNA from 1 species
CCUUUGACGUUAGCGGCGGACGGGUGAGUAACACGUGGGUAACCUACCUAUAAGACUGGGAUAACUUCGGGAAACCGGAGCUAAUACCGGAUAAUAUUUCGAACCGCAUGGUUCGAUAGUGAAAGANGGUUUUGCUAUCACUUAUAGAUGGACCCGCGCCGUAUUAGCUAGUUGGUAAGGUAACGGCUUACCAAGGCGACGAUACGUAGCCGACCUGAGAGGGUGAUCGGCCACACUGGAACUGAGACACGGUCCAGACUCCUACGGGAGGCAGCAGUC